ACAUAUGUGAGGAGAUAAAUAGGAACAGAGACAGAUAUACCAUGAAGUGUAUGCAACUUUAACUUCAAGACUUCUCACUUAUUGACAAGAAAAAUGAUCUUAGCCGUAACUGGCUAAGACCAUUAUCUCUUUUCAGUCUGGCUUCUCCUCUCUUAUACCUCAACCUCCUAUACACACACAUCCCCAUAUCAGGCAACAUAGGAAGGGCUGUGAACAUUUUUAGGUUCCCAUAUAAAAAAAGGUUGGAUAAAUAAUUUUUCUUUUGCCAUCACUGGUGUGCAUAGUGAGAUUAUGGCUAGCUCUUCAGAGGUACAAAUGACUUCUAUAAAUACUCUUACUGUCCAUAGCUAGAAGUCUUAAAACACCACCCUGCAGUGGCUGGUGCCAGAAAUGUGAGGCAUGGAAGAAACACAUAGAUGGACAUGAAUGGAACUGCAGUGAAUCUGGGAAAGACAUCCAGUCAGUCGAUAUGUAGAUCGGAAAGCAAUCAUAGACUGUGGCAUCCAGAGAGUAACCCUCUGAGGAAGUAUCACAGAUAUUGGAGGCCUUAAUCAAGAGGAUCCUUGAAACCUAUCCACCUGACAGUUGGAGGACAGUUCCAUACCCUUAUAGAUGCAGGGAUGUUUUUAAAACACCAAAUAUCACAGACAUGUGUUCUCCCCAUGCCAUUAUGGUGAGUAUUAUGCCCUCUUUGUAGCUUUUUCCUUCAGAAAUAAUCAGUAUGACUUUCUUAUAGGCACAUUUUAAGUCAUAGAAUUUAAUGAUAUUAUAGCUGAGAAGGAGGGUCCAAUAGCUUUUCAACAGAGAAUGUUACAAUCUAUGAAAUUAUGAAUGAAGAUUUCUGUGUGUGGGGGUUAAGUAUUUUCAUAAGGUCACCAGGCUAGAGGGGUAACUUUCCUUUACUGGGAGACCUGGUUUCAAUAACAUAGGAUAGGAAUGGUUUGUAAAUAAAAUAUGAGUCAAUUCAGAUCUCUUGAAUGUUUUUUUUAAUUUUACCA